rnacentral:rRNA from 1 species
UACGUAGGGUGCAAGCGUUAAUCGGAAUUACUGGGCGUAAAGCGUGCGCAGGCGGCUGUGCAAGACAGAUGUGAAAUCCCCGGGCUUAACCUGGGAAUUGCAUUUGUGACUGCACGGCUAGAGUGUGUCAGAGGGGGGUAGAAUUCCACGUGUAGCAGUGAAAUGCGUAGAUAUGUGGAGGAACACCGAUGGCGAAGGCAGCCCCCUGGGCUAACACUGACGCUCAUGCACGAAAGCGUGGGGAGCAAACAGG